rnacentral:rRNA from 1 species
CGUGUAGGUGGGUUCUCAAGUCAAAUGUGAAAACCGGUGGCUCAACUGCCGGCCUGCAUUUGAAACUGCGAACCUUGAGUACGGGAGAGGAAAGCGGAAUUCCUGGUGUAGCGGUGAAAUGCGUAGAUAUCAGGAGGAACACCGGUGGCGAAGGCGGCUUUCUGGCCCGAUACUGACACUGAGGCGCGAAGGCCAGGGGAGCAAACA